rnacentral:rRNA from 1 species
UACGAAGGGGGCUAGCGUUGCUCGGAUUGACUGGGCGUAAAGGGCGCGUAGGCGGUUCGUACAGUCAGACGUGAAAUUCCUGGGCUCAACCUGGGGGCUGCGUUUGAUACGUGCGGACUUGAGUGCGGAAGAGGGUCGUGGAAUUCCCAGUGUAGAGGUGAAAUUCGUAGAUAUUCGGAAGAACACCAGUGGCUAAGGCGGCUCACUGGUCCGGUACUGACGCUGAGGUGCGAAAGCGUGGGGAGCAAACAGG